rnacentral:misc_RNA from 1 species
UCCCGCGGGAUAAUAACCUGACAAAAAACUGAAGACGACCCGGAAACCUAGUUGACUGAGUGAACACCGACGAUGAAGAUGAAGAUGACGAUGACGGAAGCUGUUGCAGCGAUGAUGAAGCUGAGUCAGUGCUGUUGUUCUGAUGAUGACGUGGAGCAGAAUCGGUGAAAGAGGUAAGGACAAAUUGGUCUUUUCUCAUCCUGACGGCGGAGUGUACUAAGUAUAGCUCCGAUGAAACAGCGUCUUCGUCGGCAGCAUAAUCUUCAAGCUUCCGUUUAGGAUUAACUCCGGUCAUUGAAAUUCCGGGGUUUUACUCCAUAGAAGAAUCAUAACACCAAAAUCCACCAAAAAAAAAACUACACCCACUAAUUUUUUCUGCUGAGUUCAAAAUUUCCCUCAAUCAAAACUGAAAACAACAACACGAAGAACGAAGAAGAUGAAGAGGAG